AUUGAACGCUGGCGGCGGGCUUAACACAUGCAAGUCGAGCGGAGAUGAGGUGCUUGCACCUUAUCUUAGCGGCGGACGGGUGAGUAAUGCUUAGGAAUCUGCCUAUUAGUGGGGGACAACAUUCCGAAAGGAAUGCUAAUACCGCAUACGCCCUACGGGGGAAAGCAGGGGAUCUUCGGACCUUGCGCUAAUAGAUGAGCCUAAGUCGGAUGAGCUAGCUGGUGGGGUAAAGGCCUACCAAGGCGACGAUCUGUAGCGGGUCUGAGACGAUGACCCGCCACACAGGGACUGAGACCCGGCCCAGCCUCCUACGGGAGGCAUCAGUGCGGAAAAUUGGACAAUGGGCGGAAGCCUGAUCCAGCCAUGCCGCGUGUGUGAAGAAGGCCUUUUGGUUGUAUAGCACUUUAAGCGAGGAGGAGGCUACCUGGAUUAAUACUCUAGGAUAGUGGACGUUACUCGCAGAAUAAGCACCGGCUAACUCUGUGCCAGCCGCCGCCGUAAUAC
rnacentral:rRNA from 1 species